GACGAACGCUGGCGGCGUGCUUAACACAUGCAAGUCGAACGAUGAAGCCUAGCUUGCUGGGUGGAUUAGUGGCGAACGGGUGAGUAACACGUGAGUAACCUGCCCUGGACUCUGGGAUAAGCGUUGGAAACGACGUCUAAUACCGGAUAGGACCUUUCACCGCAUGGUGGGGGGUGGAAAGUUUUUUCGGUUUGGGAUGGACUCGCGGCCUAUCAGCUUGUUGGUGAGGUAAUGGCUCACCAAGGCGUCGACGGGCAGCCGGCCUGAGAGGGUGACCGGCCACACUGGGACUGAGACACGGCCCAGACUCCUACGGGAGGCAGCAGUGGGGAAUAUUGCACAAUGGGCGCAAGCCUGAUGCAGCAACGCCGCGUGAGGGACGACGGCCUUCGGGUUGUAAACCUCUUUUAGCAGGGAAGAAGCGAAAGUGACGGUACCUGCAGAAAAAGCACCGGCUAACUACGUGCCAGCCGCCGCGGUAAGAC
rnacentral:rRNA from 1 species